rnacentral:ncRNA from 1 species
GAUUGGUGGUGCAGGUAGAGAGAACAAUUGUUUUUAUUUCUUUUCACUCUCACUUACAAAAUGUCCCUAUCUACUAUCUAGCGAAACCACAGCCAAGGGAACGGGCUUGGAAAAAUCAGCGGGGAAAGAAGACCCUGUUGAGCUUGACUCUAGUCUGACUCUGUGAAGAGACAUGAGAGGUGUAGCAUAAGUGGGAGGCCGUGAACCCUCGCGGUUGUGUCGUGCCGUCAGUGAAAUACCACUACUUUCAUCGUUUCUUUACUUACUCGGUGAAGCGGAAAGCGGACCAUGAGUGUCCACGCUUCUAGCACUAAGUGCAAGGCCCUUCGUUGGCCCGCACGAUCUGUUCCGAGGACAGUGUCAGGCGGGGAGUUUGACUGGGGCGGUACAUCUGUCAAAUGGUAACGCAGGUGUCCUACCCAGGUAGCACACCGCGUCGGCCGGUAUCGGGACUACGCCGGCCGGUCCCGGUAACAGGAUGCGCG